AGAGUUUGAUCAUGGCUCAGAUUGAACGCUGGCGGCAGGCCUAACACAUGCAAGUCGAGCGGAAACGAGUUAGCUGAACCUUCGGGGAACGUUAACGGCGUCGAGCGGCGGACGGGUGAGUAAUNCCUGGGAAAUUGCCCUGAUGUGGGGGAUAGGCAUUGNAAUCGAAGGCUAAUACCACAUAAUAGUUUCGGCUCAAAGACNAGGGCGUUUUGGCCUCUCGCGUCAAGAUAGGCCCAAGUGGGAUUAGCUAGUUGGUGAGGUAAGGGCUCACCAAGGCGACGAUCCCUAGCUGGUCUGAGAGGAUGAUCAGCCACACUGGAACUGAGACACGGUCCAGACUCCUACGGGAGGCAGCAGUGGGGAAUAUUGCACAAUGGGCGCAAGCCUGAUGCAGCCAUGCCGCGUGUNUGAAGAAGGCCUUCGGGUUGUAAAGCACUUUCAGCAGUGAGGAAGGU
rnacentral:rRNA from 1 species